rnacentral:rRNA from 1 species
UACGUAGGGUGCGAGCGUUGUCCGGAAUUAUUGGGCGUAAAGAGCUCGUAGGCGGUGUGUCGCGUCCGCCGUGAAAACCUGGGGCUCAACUCUGGGCGUGCGGUCGAUACGGGCAUCACUUGAGUUCGGCAGGGGAGACUGGAAUUCCUGGUGUAGCGGUGAAAUGCGCAGAUAUCAGGAGGAACACCGGUGGCGAAGGCGGGUCUCUGGGCCGAUACUGACGCUGAGGAGCGAAAGCAUGGGUAGCGAACAGG